rnacentral:rRNA from 1 species
GCACACACCGCCCGUCACACCAUGAGAGUCGGGAACACCCGAAGUCCGUAGCCUAACAGCAAUGAGGGCGCGGCCGAAGGUGGGUUCGAUAAUUGGGGUGAAGUCGUAACAAGGUAUC